UUAAGUCCACUUUACAUCAACAAUAAAUUGGACAAGAAAUUGACCAAGUUAUUCAAGGCCAAAUUUGACGUGUAAAAGCACACUUUGACAUCUAAGUUUGUUCGUUAUAAACUUCACGUGAAGAAAUUGAUGAAAAAGAAAAUUGUUCUAUUUUUUCAUUUUAUUUGGCGUGAAUUCAGUGUCACCAACCUGUGUCCAUUUGGCGGGAAGUGGAAGUAGAGCUUUUUGUUUAUUAUUAUUUGUUGAGGUUGAGUCUUUCAUGUUCAUGACAACCUAAAAAUUUUGAUUGGAAAAUGCAUAUAAGAUAAGGGGGUGGAAAAAUGGAAAUUAGUGGCUUUUUUUGCAGUUGUCUGUUAGUUUUGCUCUGGCUGGGUCUCUUUUGUUUAAACAAUUAUAAUCAGCUGAAAGUGGUCUACAAAAAAACCAGGAAGGAAACGUAUUAUAGCCUUGUUGUGGCUAUGAAAGGCAAAAGAAAGAUACCUAUAAAAAGUGUAUUGACUAGUUGGAAGAAACUCCAGAUAAUAAGAUAUUACUUUAUAAACAAAUAUCAAGACCUAGGAAUGGAACCUGGAUAAUAUAGUCAUCAAGAAGAUAACAGGAAGUCAUGAGCAACAACAACUUCAUAAGUAUGAGAAUAUUGAGGAAAUCCAGCUCCUCAUAUCUACUACUGGACAAACUAGAAGAUUGAAGAGGACAAAGCCUUUUGAACUAGUUUGAGUGAUAGUUGAUAGUGAAAAGCAGAGCGUAGUGCUUGUGUGCCUGUGUAUGUUAGAAUAGUGCACGAUCUUGUUAGAUUAGAUAAGAGACGCUAUGAGGUAAGCUCUUCAUUUUAAGGAACAGUAGUAAUUUAGGUUAAAUUAAAAUUGCUCAUUGGUCAGUUAUGACCAGAUUGUAAUUCUCUGAUGUUUGUCAAAAAGGGCUUAAGUCAGAAUUGCACAUCAAUAAUGUUUUGAUGAUUUCUGGACCAUAAAAAAAGUGUUGCAGACUUAAACUGUAUGUACCAAUAAAAAGAGCCGAUUUUUCUGGUCCAGAAAUCAUCAAAACGUUAUCGAUGUGCAAUUCUGACUUAAGCCCUUUUUCCCAAACAUCAGAGAAUUGCAAUGUACAAUUCAAUACAAAUGAAUCAUCAUCGUAGUGAUGAUUAUGGAAAAAAAUAUAUGACAAGAUUUUGUGCAAUAAAAAUGUUUAUAUUUA